rnacentral:tRNA from 1 species
CUCCUCAUAGCUCAGUCAGUAAAGCAUCUGCCUGCAAUGCAGGAGACCCGCGUUCGAUUCCUGAGUCGGGAGG